rnacentral:misc_RNA from 1 species
CUCAUCUCACCGCACGCGUAAGGCUCGCACUCACCGUCGCAUGUGUAUCUUCUGGCACAACCUCGUGGUUCGGCACCUAUCGAGCGCAUGAGCUUGCUUACCUGAUUGACGUUUCGAUGGACUUUGACGAGAUCAUCGCGGACGCCGCAGCAUGGCAGGAAUGGGGCAGCAACGGCAGCAAUGCUUAGGCCGGCGUUGCGCGGUGCCGUCCAGGCACCUCCAUCCUUACAGUCCGUCGGACAGCGCUGCCCAUCAUGCACGCGUCGGGAGCUCCGACGAUUCAUGCAGCUGAGGCGACACCUGCGGCAGAAGCGGUGCCGUUGUAGUUGGCGGCGUGUCUGGUAGUGUCUGCAGUUCUUAGCCGCUGGCUGUCUGUGUUUGUGCAGCUGUAGAGUCCCAGGGAAGACAGCGAGCGGCACAGAGCAGUACCUCUGACACCCCCAGCUCGUCUCCUGCGAGCGCUUCCGUGUCACAGGCGGCGACAAGGCCUGGGAACGGAGAAAACGGGGCAGUCAUGCGGAGCAUUCGCACCGCUGUGCCUCUGCAUCAAGCGACGUCGAUCGAUGCUGUUGCGCCUCUCGACUGCGUCUCCGACCCGCUGGCUCCCGGGUGAGCACCCGUUGCUCCAGGCACGCAGACGCUGCCCGGAUACCCUUGGCCCAGCGCUCCCUCGGGGAAUGUAGGCUGCGGCGAAGGGGCGGCGUAUUACGCGCGGGCGCCAGCGACGGACGGCGGGGAGGGGGUGCCGCACUGGUGCGCAGGCUGCAGCCUCUCGGGCCCUGGAAUAAAACAGUAAGUAGCAUUGCACCUUCUUUGCCUCCCCUUCCUAUGCAACUGCCUCUACUGCCGAGGGCCCUUCUGCACAAGUGCGCCAUCACCUGCAUUCGCCAAGACCGCUGUGCGCCCCACUUCAGCACGGGCUUUGUAAGAGCGCGUGGUUGGAGAAUCCGCGAGGGCUGCAAGCUUCGGGCACUGAACUCAGCAGGUGGCCACUCGGUCACGUGCUCUGCGUGAAUCAUCUUUUCUUCAGCACUUUGCGCUCAAUUUUGUGCAACUUGCUUUUCACUGCUGCCGUCCUCAGCACGCUUCCCUCUCCCUCCUCCUCUGUAUCUAAGGGUUGUCGCUUGAGGGAGGGGGCGUGCCUGCAAGUGUGUCUCUCCUUUCCGAUCAUCCUUUCUGGCUUCUUUCAGGCGCCUUUUCCCGUAUGAUUGCUCGGUGGCGUUUGCAUGUUUGCCGCCUCCCCCCUCCUCUCCUCAUCCCCUUCGCUUCACCCCUCUCCUUCCCUGCUGUGCACGGCUAUGUGAUUGUCUCCGGCUGCGCGCACCUUACCCACGCAACAGAAAUCAGAUGGUGUAAGGCCAUAAAAAACUAUCCCCCCCCUUCUAGGCGCACAGCAUGUCGCUAUGUAGGUGCCUCCAUAUGCUCUCGUUGUCAGCCCCCGCCUUCUUUUUCUUGUGUGCGUUCUACGUCUUCUCGCCUCUCCCGCCAACUGCAUUUGCUCUGCUCUCGACUUGUUUGUUUGCAGAGGCGCGGCUGCUUGGCUGUGUCGCACCCCCCGCUCUCCCCAUCUCGCCUUCGCUUUUCUUGACGUUUGUGCGCGUGUGUGAAACAGUUGUGAGGGACGACGAACG